rnacentral:rRNA from 1 species
AUGUUUAGUUACGAAGUCGUCACGGACGCUACAGGCCGCGUUCUGGAUACGGAGGCCUUGCUGCUCAUAGCUCACAACCUGCUGGAAGUUCCCAAGGAUCUAUUUUUGGAGGGGGCGGUGUCCACUGAAGGCCUUGGCACAGAUCUGACCGAGGAGAAUGUGUACAAGGUGGCGGAGAUGCAGCUCUCCCUCAUGCACGACUUGUUCUACACCCUCUGCAUCCGUGUAAUCUCUCUUGUAGCCACCUCCACUGCGUUGUUGUUGUUUUUGUUGUUGUUUCAGGUACUGGGUGGUGAUCAUAAGGUUCAUUAG